rnacentral:lncRNA from 1 species
GAUACUGCACUAUUAAAAUUGGAGAGUGCUGUUGCUCUACUCCUGUCUGACUAUGUUAAACCAUUCUGCUUGCUGUUUGACAGUCGUUGCGCCACCACAGUUGCAGCACUCUCUUUGUAACACAUGGAACCAUGCUAAAUCCGCCCCUGCAACCUGAUAAAUAUAAUGUUGGUGUGGUUGGGUCCGUUAAAUUUUAUGUACCACAUAGUGGUGUGGGUUGUGGAGGUUGAUGUGGCUUGGUGGAGGAUGGUGAUGGGUGUUCUCCAUUGAGCCACAUUCAUUCGCUUUAUAAGAACCGGGUCAUAUAAAUUGAAGCAGAUAAUGUUUGGAAAUCGAUAGAAAAACCGUUGGUACUUGCUCCCUUUAGUAUAAUUUAAGAAAACUAAUAGCAAGCUAUACAUGUAAAUAAUGUGUAUUCGUUCAUUGUAUUGUAAUACAUAAUUAUUUAUCGU